GUAGGGUGCGAGCGUUAUCCGGAAUCAUUGGGCGUAAAGAGCUCGUAGGCGGUUCAGCAAGUCGGCUGUGAAAUUCCGAGGCUCAACCUCGGAACUGCAGUCGAUACUGCUGUGACUCGAGUCCGGUAGAGGAGAAUGGAAUUCAGGGUGUAGCGGUGAAAUGCGCAGAUAUCCUGAGGAACACCAGUAGCGAAGGCGGUUCUCUGGGCCGGUACUGACGCUGAGGAGCGAAAGCGUGGGUAGCAAACAGGAUUAGAUACCCUGGUAGUCCCACGCCGUAAACGUUGGACACUAGGUGUGGCGUUCCGACCAACGGGUUGCCGUGCCGAAGCUAACGCAUUAAGUGUCCCCGCCUGGGGAGUACGGCCGCAAGGCUA
rnacentral:rRNA from 1 species